GCGGCCGGCGGCCGCAGGGUGUUCCCCGCCUCUGCGCCGGCCUCUGAGCGCGGAGGGCGACCGAUAGGGCCCCCUGAAGCCAGCGAAACUACCACAGCGCCGUACUACCAGUGGGUCUGAGGUACUUCAGUCGCACGUAGCGUACCCAGGCUGGACACGGGGGUGUGUGAGCUGCCAACACACAUUGCUCUGAGCGUGUACCUGGGCCUGCUGCAGCCCCAUUGGGAGUGAUGGGCAGAGAGCUCGGCCAGCACGACCGCCUUUGUCAAGAUGGCCAUGUCAGGGGUGGCUCCUAGGCAUGGCACUCGCUGCUGUGAAGGAGAAUUGGAUCCAGCUGCCCAGCUGUCUUCAGGAGAGCUGCCGAAGCAGAUUCAGUAGCUGAGAACUUUGCUCUGCCCGCCAAGGAAGGUGGUGCGGCCGCCAGCUGCGGUUGCUCAGAGCCUCUCGGACAUCAGAGCGGUGCCGGCGUGGCCGCUGCCAGACAGGGGUGUUGCAGUUAUCCUCUGGAGGAGCUGCUCACCAUUGCCACGAACAAAGGAGCUUUGUUCAGAUCCGUUUGACGUAACCUAUGAGGUAAAGUGGAAAACCUGUGAAUAAAAAAUGGGAAGCGUGCAGGCUGAGGCAACUCAAUUUACCAAUCCGUAAACCUACACCCACCAAAUAGAUGGUAUUUUUAUAUACAGUGGUGGUGAUCGUAGUACCACAGAAUUGCAAGGGUUGGAAGGGAUCUCAAGAGAUCAUCAAGUCCUGCUGCCAGUUGCUACCACUGACUCCAAAUCGGAAUCACAGAAUCAUAGAAUAACCCAAGCUGGAAGGCACCCUUAAGGAUCACUGAGCCCCAUCUCUUGCUGCUCAUCAUAUAAGCCUGUCAGUUGCUGCAGUGCAUUGGGCGAGUCUUAGUAGACACUCAGGAACUGGAUACCUCUUAGAGCUACAUGGCAGUUUGAUUAGUUUUACUGCCUGAAUAAAGCUUCUUGGUGGAGCUGUUGACUAGAUAAUUAAACUUGCAUGUACUCAGAGAGAAAAUGUUCUGAUAUAGUUAAGCAAAUACUGCUUUUUGGCACUAUAAUUAGCA
ensembl:lncRNA